rnacentral:rRNA from 1 species
GACAGAGGGUGCAAACGUUGCUCGGAAUCACUGGGCGUAAAGGGCGUGUAGGCGGCAAGGAAAGUCAGAUGUGAAAUCCCUGGGCUCAACCCAGGAACUGCAUUUGAAACUCCCUUUCUUGAGUGUCGGAGAGGAGAGCGGAAUUCCUGGUGUAGAGGUGAAAUUCGUAGAUAUCAGGAGGAACACCGGUGGCGAAGGCGGCUCUCUGGACGAUAACUGACGCUGAGACGCGAAAGCGUGGGGAGCAAACAGG